GGCUCCGUGGCGGGUGGCCCGCGUCUGCUACACCUUUGAUGGAUGUCGUGUGAAUUUCAAGCAGAAGCUGCUCGUUCGAAUCGAGCCGGAGUCA